UCAUAGUACAAUAUUAAUUGCCAAAUAUUCGCAAGUUAUGGGAAUUUUCGUCUGGUAUUGCCUUUUGGUCUAUAGCCUGACACUCUUUCAGGAAGUACCAUGUCAAUUCCAUCCUGGCGUGAUGCCAGCACACACUGAUGAUGACCUCGGUCUCGUAUUAACUGCCCUACUACUAGCCAGACAAAGGAAUUUGAACAUGAACAAUUGUAACAAACAGAGGAAGACGAUACCUAUACCAUAUCCUGUACCAUUUACAAGCUCGCCCAUCAUCUUCAGGUCGAGGGAUGGAGAAGACAAAACAGGGAGCUAUGAGGAAACUUCCCAAGAAGAUUCCAAAAGCGUUGAUCUCAAAUAUAAUCCUGUAAUAGUUGAAGAGUCUGAAGAAAUCACCAAUUAAUUUAAAGACCUUAUAAAAGAAAGAAAUACAUAAGUAAAACUGUA